rnacentral:tRNA from 1 species
AGCGAGGUGGGGAAGCCAGGUUUAUCCCGGCGGGCUCAUAAUUCGCAAACACAGCCGAAUGUUCAAAUCCACUCCUCGCUA